rnacentral:rRNA from 1 species
AGUGGGGAAUCUUCGGCAAUGGGCGCAAGCCUGACCGAGCCAUGCCGCGUGAGCGAUGAAGGCCUUAGGGUUGUAAAGCUCUUUCGCCAGGGAUGAUAAUGACAGUACCUGGUAAAGAAACCCCGGCUAACUCCGUGCCAGCAGCCGCGGUAAUACGGAGGGGGUUAGCGUUGUUCGGAAUUACUGGGCGUAAAGCGCGCGUAGGCGGAUUGGAAAGUUAGAGGUGAAAUCCCGGGGCUCAACCCCGGAACUGCCUUUAAAACUCCCAGUCUUGAGUUCGAGAGAGGUGAGUGGAACUCCGAGUGUAGAGGUGAAAUUCGUAGAUAUUCGGAAGAACACCAGUGGCGAAGGCGGCUCACUGGCUCGAUACUGACGCUGAGGUGCGAAAGUGUGGGGAGCAAA